UUUUAUUCCAUCCCGGGCUCCAUUUUUGUGUCACUUCUCGGGACGAGCAUAUUAGAGCAGAGUUCCGGACGAAGAAAAGAGAAGUGAUCGGAAGGAAAGACGCCCCACGCCGGAUAAAGAUCAGCUGUUGGAUGCAGGCCUGUGACAAUACAGUAAGUCAGAGUCCUUACAGCUUUAUUACGCUCUGCAUCAAAGGCGAGCCGGGGGCGGAUGAAGAAUAGAAAUCCCAUGACGUGUUGGAUAUCACGUCUCAGUUUGUCCUGUAAAACUCUUCGAGAACAACACAUUACUCCAAUUAUCCCCUUUGUGUUUUUUGCCUUGUUGCCCGAUGGUCGUGUAAGUAUUUGUUAGAGCAGAGCUGUUUCCAUCUUUCCCCGUCUGCUGAUAUUGUGUUGUGUUUCUCCACCGGGCAAGUAACAACAUGCUGCUUCCUGAUCUCUCUCCACACUGAAUAAUGUGUCAUACUUACAAAAAAAUCCUUAGAGGGGGUGAAUAUGAAUUGAUGAGACACUAAACUGAUAACAUGUUUCAUUUAGUCAACUUCCAUUAUUAAUUAAAUCAUAAUAGCUCUUAGGAUGUUUUCUUCAAGUCUGAUCAUGAGCCGUUUUUUUUUCUUCAUUUUUUUUUAAAUCUCAGGCUAUGAAGGUCAUAAUUCAUAGUGCGACUGUGUGAGGGGCAUAUGUGACACUGAUGGGUCUCGUGUUUAUUUAAUGCCGACUGAAUGACGGUGGUCAGGCCUUCGGCUUCCUCUGCUCUUAAAAUGUAAUUAUGGGGGAGUCCUUCCCUGCAGCAGUUUGACAGCUCUGCUGAACUUUUCAUGAUAUAUGCUGAAUCACGAUGCAUUAUAAAUAUCUAGUAUAACCUGUUAUUUACUAUUAUUUUAAGGAUUUGUUACAUUUUUUUGAUUUGCUUACAACACAAGCAGCUAUACAAUGUAGUUUCUGAUGACUAUAAAUAAGUACCUUCUCAAAUCUUAAGUGAAAUAGAGUUUAUGAUUUUUGGUAAAAUAAAAUUAAUUGAGGCUCUGAGUGAAAAAAACCUGAAAAAGCUCUGAAGCAGAAACAUUGUAGACUUCCCAAGUUAUGAACUGCAUUCGUGAUCCAACGGAACUUAAAUACGUUUUGCCAGAAGAGCUACUGGAUGAACGUUAUAAUUAUAACCGUUUAUGUAAAGAAAAUGAUUAUUAUUCUGACGUAACUGGGGGUUGGUUCAAGAAUAAUAAAUUCCUCCUCAUAUAUAACACUUCUAAUUGUUUUUUUAAAAUCGAAAACACCUCCCAAUGUGAACAUUUUUGAAUAACUACGACGUGUAAUGUCGGAACUUUGUGACGUGUUAAAGGGAAGGCGAUUAUUUCUUUUUGCGUCUGAGUUUGCGGAUUAUGCAGUGACCUCAUUUCACAGGAAUGCCUGUGCACAAGGGUCGGGGCAGAAUGUUGAUUUGCGGAUUUCAUCCUUUCAUCUCUCACCUCGGUGCUUCUGCAGCGGCCGGCCUGGAGGAGAGCGCGUUGCGUUUGAGGCCUCAGACAAAAGCGGCCUAAUUACGGUCAAUAAAGUCCCCGUAUGCGGGUUAUCGCAACACGUCGCCGCGUGCGUGAAAUACACCCAAUUACAUUAUAAUCCAACGGGAAAAUAGCUGCACAAUGAAGGCGAGUGAACCCGUUAUGGAUUAAAUGCUCAUUUUCCAAUUUUAUCCACAUUGCCUCUAAUAAACAAUUAUUUCUACAAUAAAACGAAGUUAGCGGACAACAUUUAAAUAUUAUUCAAUUUCCUGAAAAUUAAUUUCCAUAACUUACUUUAAAAGUAGUUUUUGACAUGUUUCAGUCAGGCUUAGAAAAAUGCCGACGAAUCAAAUAGCAAAUAGCUAUUAAAUUCUUAUGACGUGUGCAUACAAGGAUAUUUGAUAAAGUUAUGGUGCUUUUUAGUUAUUUAGUAAUUAUUGAUUUUUUUCCCACGCCAGUGGUUUGUGCUGCGGCCUGUAUUUGUUGUGAGUGAAUUGAAUGGGUUAAAAGGGCCAAAACAAAAAAAGUAAAGGGUGGGUGUUCUAAUUACAAUUGGGCUGAUAAAAACUAAAGAAUUAAUACUAUUAUGAGCCAAAUAAGCCAUUUGUAGAUAGCGAGAAUUGUUUCAAAACAGCUCACGGUUUAGUAAAACAACCUCUUAGCCAAUAUAAAUGGGAUGUUUCUAAUUUCAAUGAGUUUAUUUAGUCUGCUGUUCAUCCUCAACGUUUUCUUGCUUGUUCUGUAAUGGACGACUGAGGACAUCAGGUCCACAGGAAAAGAGAAAUGUUUCAAUUAGUUAUUUUCCAGUUUUGCUUAUUGUCUCUCUUGAGCCCAAAAAUAAAUUUGCAAUAUUUGUUUUACAACAAAUAUCAGACAAUAUAAUAACCUUUUCCUUCAGUCAUGAUCAUUUUAAUAUAAUAUUAACAGUCUUAUUGUACUAUUAUUGUAUUGUGAAUUUGAAUAAUUUGUUUGAAUUAUGUUUUAGAAUAAGGCAAAAUAAUUAUAAAAUGAUGAUAUGAAGAUAUGAAGAAUUUUUCAUAUGAUUACUGAUUUAUGUCAUCUUACCACGCAGAUUGUUAAAAUAUUCACUCGCGCUCAUUUCAAACAAACAAAAAAAAGUGGACAUUGUAAUCAAAGCAUCAGCCUAUUGUGUGUGUCUGUGUGCGUGAUUGUUUCCCAUGCACGUCAGGAAGAACCAGCGAGAGAAAGAGUGAGAGGUCGGACUGGGAGUGUCGGCGCAGGAUUUACGAGUGUGUAAUGAAGCAUCUCUGAUGUUGACAGACUAAACAGAG
ensembl:lncRNA